GGAUCCAGACUUUGAUUCUGGCUCAGGAUGAACGCUAGCGGCAGGCUUAACACAUGCAAGUCGAGGGGCAGCGCGGGGCGGCAACGUCCUGGCGGCGACCGGCGGAAGGGUGCGUAACGCGUGAGCGACAUGCCCGUUGCCCGGGGACAACCGGUGGAAACGCCGACUAAUCCCCGAUGGGACGGAGGCCCUCAUGGGUCUCUGUUGAAAGUUACGGCGGCGACGGAUUGGCUCGCGUCCGAUUAGCUUGUUGGCGGGGUAACGGCCCACCAAGGCUACGAUCGGUAGGGGUUCUGAGAGGAAGGUCCCCCACAAUGGAACUGAGACACGGUCCAUACUCCUACGGGAGGCAGCAGUGAGGAAUAUUGGUCAAUGGGCGGAAGCCUGAACCAGCCAUGCCGCGUGCGGGAAGGAGGCCCUAUGGGCUGUGAACCGCUUUUGCCUGGGGGCAAUAAGGGCGUCGCGCACGUCCGAUGAGAGUACCAGGGGAAUAAGCAUCGGCUAACUCCGUGCCAGCAGCCGCGGUAAUACGGGGGAUGCGAGCGUUAUCCGGAUUCAUUGGGUUUAAAGGGUGCGUAGGCUGUGCGUCAAGUCAGGGGUGAAAUUCCGGGGCUCAACUCCGGGGCUGCCCUUGAUACUGUCGCGCUGGAGUGCGGAUGCCGCCGGAGGAAUGAGUGGUGUAGCGGUGAAAUGCUUAGAUAUCACUCAGAACACCGAUUGCGAAGGCAUCUGGCGAAUCCGUAACUGACGCUGAGGCACGAAAGCGUGGGGAUAGAACAGGAUUAGAUACCCUGGUAUUCCACGCCGUAAACGAUGAUGGCUAACCGCCGGCGACAUACUGUCGGUGGCCAAGCGAAAGCGAUAAGCCAUCCACCUGGGGAGUACGUCGGCAACGAUGCAACUCAAAGGAAUUGACGG
rnacentral:rRNA from 2 species